ensembl:snRNA U6 U6 spliceosomal RNA
CUGCUCGCUCUGACAGCACACAUACUAAAAUUGGAACGACACAGAGAAGAUUAGCAUGGACCCUGUGCAAGGAUGACAUGCAAAUUCAUGAACCAUUCCAUAUUUUU